rnacentral:rRNA from 1 species
UCCCGCACAAGCAGCGGAGCGUGUGGUUUAAUUCGAUGCUACACGAAGAACCUUACCUGGGUUUGACAUAGAGGUAGUAGGGAAGCGAAAGCGGACGACCUUCGGGAGCCUCUACAGGUGUUGCAUGGCUGUCGUCAGCUCGUGUCGUGAGAUGUUCGGUUAAGUCCGCUAACGAGCGCAACCCUCGCUGUGUGUUACAAGUGUCACACGGUACUGCCGAUAUUAAGUCGGAGGAAGGUGGGGAUGACGUCAAGUCAGCAUGACCUUUAUAUCCAGGGCUACACACACGCUACAAUGGUCUGUACAAUGGGUAGCCAAGCCGCGAGGCGGAGCCAAUCCUGAAAGCAGGCCUCAGUUCAGAUUGCAGUCUGCAACUCGACUGCAUGAAGCCGGAGUUGCUAGUAACCGCAGGUCAGCAAUACUGCGGUGAAUACGUUCCCGGGUCUU